rnacentral:rRNA from 1 species
UAAUGUAAUUAUUACAACGCUAAUUCACCAGAUCCCAUAGAAACUCUGUAGUGAAGACUGCCUGGGCUAGAGUAGUACUGGGAUGGGUGACCUCCUAUGAAUUCCUAAUGUCUUACAUGCC